rnacentral:rRNA from 2 species
UCUAUUUGAAGGUAUAGAUAGUCUAACCUGCUCACUGAUAAAAUUAUUUAAGAGCCGCGGUAUAUUGACCGUGCAAAGGUAGCAUAAUCAUUAGAGGUUUAAUUGGAAUCUGGUAUGAAGGGUUGGACAAAGAAAAAACUGUCUUUAAGGUAUAUAUUGAAAUUUACUUUUAAGUGAAAAGGCUUAAAUAAAUCAAGGGGACGAUAAGACCCUAUAAAGCUUUAUGAAUAAAUUAAAUUUGGUUAAUUUAUAAGGUAAUAAUUAAAUUUAAUUGUUUUAUUUUGUUGGGGUGAUGUGAGUAUAAUUAAUAAUAACUGCUUAAAGAGUAUACUGUUGUAAGAGAAUAAUAAAUACAUGAUCCUUUUUAAAGAUUAAAAGACUAAGUUACUUUAGGGAUAACAGCGUUAUUUCUUUUGAGAGUUCAUAUCGAAAAAGAAGAUUGCGACCUCGAUGUUGAAUUAAAAUAUCUGUAUAGUGUAGC